GACGAACGCUGGCGGCGUGCUUAACACAUGCAAGUCGAACGGGUCUGCCCUGUUUUUUGCGGGGUGGGUCAGUGGCGAACGGGUGAGUAACACGUGAGUAACCUGCCCCUCACUUCUGGAUAACCGCUUGAAAGGGUGGCUAAUACGGGGUGUUCUGGCUGUGCCGCAUGGUGUGGCUGGGAAAGAUUCACUUUUGUGGUGUUUUGGUGGGGGAUGGGCUCGCGGCCUAUCAGCUUGUUGGUGGGGUGAUGGCCUGCCAAGGCUUUGACGGGUAGCCGGCCUGGGAGGGUGGGCGGUCACACUGGGACUGAGAUACGGCCCAGACUCCUGCGGGAGGCAGCAGUGGGGGGUAUUGCACAAUGGGCGGAAGCCUGAUGCAGCGACGUCGCGGGAGGGAUGGAGGCCUUCGGGUUGUGAACCUCUUUCGCCGGUGAAGAAGGUCCUGCUCUUUGUGGUGGGGUUGACGGUAGCCGGGUUAUGAAGCGCCGGCUAACUACGUG
rnacentral:rRNA from 1 species